rnacentral:lncRNA from 1 species
CCCCCACCCGCCGCCGUUAGGGCAUGAUCUCUAUUGCCAGUCCUUAUGUGGCCCUUGAGAUGAUCUGUAAGUCUCAAGAACCUGAUCCUAAAAGUUCUUGGAUACCUGCCUCUCCCCUUUUCCAAUAUAGCUUCAUCAGGUGGCUAAAUUUAAAAAUUCUCCCAAGACUAAUGAAUACCGCCAAUAUGUUCUUCUCUGCCAAUUACUCAAUGCCAGUGUCUUCCUGGGCAUGAAAGAGCCCUUGCAAGAGAAGGAUCUAAUAGGUACUCUGCAAAGCAGAGAACAGAGAGAGGAAAGGGUAGGAUCAGGUAAGGAGGGGGUGCAGGCAGAGAAUCAGACUGGAGGCCUGAGGUCAUUCGACUGACGACAAUCAGACAAGAAGACAUGACAGGGAGAGGAAUGUCAUAGAGGAAAUGGAGUAAAAUCAGUCUUGGCAGUAAGUAUGGGUAAGACAGGAAAGAAUUCUUCUUCAUUUCUACCCUGAUGGACAAUGGUUUAAAAGAAACACAUUACUAGUGAUGCACUUCUAACAUUUAUUAAUAAUUAGACCAAACAUGCUUGGCAGUUUUGAGUGAGGCGUUAAGGGUACAGUAUACUAACUUGGAAAGGGGUGAAUUUUUUUCAGAUCAAGAUUAAAAAAAAUGAAAGUAUUGGAAUAUCUCGCACAGAUGGUUUGGCUCUUUCUUUGACCUCUAAAAACCCUUUGAAAACACUUAAAAUAUUUUUCAUCAGGAUUCUACAUGGGAAUUUGUUUUGAAAUAUUAUAAGGAACUAUGUGAAGAACUGGCAUUACCCUAAAAAGUAAAAUAUAUAUAUUUCCAUUGUCACCCAAGAGUACUUCCCUUUCUUUUACUUUUUAUUGGAAGUGUCAUUUCUUUUUCUUUGUUUAUUGGUCUAGUUCGGUCCCAAGUACCUCCCCUUUCCUUUCCCUCCUACCAACCCUCCACCCCUCCACCCGACUCUACUGAUCUGUCUACAAUUUAUAGCCUCCCAAAUUAAUUUCUUUUGGAUGUACACAGUGGUGAGAUUUACUGUUAUAAUCAUAUAUGUUUAUAGGAAAGUUAUGUCAGAAUAAUUCCACUGUCUUUCCUUUUUCCAUCCCUCCUCCCUUCCUUUUAUUCCCCUUUGUCUACUCCACUAAACUUCUAUUCUUUUUUUAUGCCCCCCAUUGUGGAUUUGUUUUCACAUGUCAGAGAAAAUAUUAGACCUCUGGUAUUUAAGAAGCCAGUGAAUGAUUUCUAGCCCACUUCUAAAUAAUACACAGAUGCAUUUUUUUUGGUAUUUGCUCCAUUUUUCAGUUAUUUUAGCAUGGAAAAUUUUGAAAUCAUUUUUACUUUUUGAGGAUUUAAUUUGUGUUUAUCAGUAGACAAAUUCUCAAACAUUAAAUGGUAUAAUGAUUUUUACAGUUAAAAUGUUUACACAUAACAUCUUUUAACUUAAUUAUAAAACUUUGUCCAGUGGAUACUAUUACACAGUAAAGAGAGUAAUUCAGGCUGAGAUACUGGUUAUAAUUAUCCCUAUGUACAGAAAAGCAACCUGUGGCCCAGUGGAGUUAAGUACCUCAGAAUGAAAAUUUUGGGCUGGGGUUGUGGCUCAGUGGCAGAAUGCUUGACUAGCAUGUGUGAGGCACUGGGUUUGAUUCUCAGCACUGUAUAUCAACAAAUAAAAGAUUCAUUGACAAUUAAAAAAAUAUUUUUUAAAAUGGAAAUUUUAUGAGAAGUCACCACCAGCACCCAGUAGUCUUGUAUAUUUUUUAAGAUAGAGGCUCUCAUACACACUGAUCAUGUAUCAAAGAUGGAAUUUAUGAAUGAGGGAGCCAUAAGCAUUUCAAAGCUAGUUGGAAGGAUAUGAGAAAAUGAUACACACAGAUUCUAUGUGGAAAAAAUACUUUAAAAAUAAUGAAGCACAUUGGGAUACUGUGUUUACAAAACUGAAUGACAUUCUCUAAAGCAAGAAAACCAUAACUCUUAAAGUUACAUUUUAUAUUAAAUAUAAAAUAUAUGCAACUUUUAAAUCUUUUCUAACAACACAACUUCAGAGACUUUGGUUACAAAUCAGUACCAGUAGUAAGUCAAAGUUAUCUUCCUUUGUAGCAGAGAUCAGCUAUUUUUUUUUUGUAUGGGGCCAUAUAAAAAUAUUUAAAAAUUGUCUCUUUAAAAUGUAUCCAACAAUAUCAUGGUAUUAUGAAAAUAACUACAUGAGUAUAAUUGUGUUCACUUUAAUUUUAUUACAUAUGAAUGUCUAUGUUUAAGUGAUGCAUAAAUAAAUUAUGACAGCAAAAGAGUUUAUGUUAAAAUAUUAUCAGGUACUUCUGUAGUAUCCUAUCUGGUACAUAGAGAAAGUAAUCUGUUACUAACUAGGGGGUGUAUAGCAGAUUAUUUUCAUUUUUAUAAAACUUAUGCUUGGACACUUAUCUAAUUAUUAACUGAGAUCCUACCAAUGGUGAUGUAUUACAAGUGAUGUCUCUUUAUAAUAUUCUAUUUUACAUAGUACUAUUAAAAAUGUAUUGUAUCUGUGUUUUAAAAAAGUUUAAAAUUCUAGGCUGGGGUUGUAGCUCAGUGGUAGAGAGCUUGCCUAGCACAUGUGAAGCACUGGGUUUGAUUCUUAGCACCACAUGUAAACAAAUAAAGAUCCAUUGACAACUAAUAAAAUAUUAAAAAA